rnacentral:rRNA from 1 species
UACGUAGGGUGCGAGCGUUGUCCGGAAUUACUGGGCGUAAAGAGCUCGUAGGUGGUUUGUCACGUCGUCUGUGAAAUUACGGGGCUUAACCUCGGGCGUGCAGGCGAUACGGGCAAUACUUGAGUGCUGUAGGGGAGACUGGAAUUCCUGGUGUAGCGGUGAAAUGCGCAGAUAUCAGGAGGAACACCGAUGGCGAAGGCAGGUCUCUGGGCAGUAACUGACGCUGAGGAGCGAAAGCAUGGGUAGCGAACAGGAUUAGAUA